AGUUUUGAGAAGUCACCUCCCUUCAUACCCUGCCACAGCCAUAGAGAGAGACGACAACUUUGUAAAGAAGUGUAUCACUGUGGAGUUUGACUCUCCUGGGACAAAAGUUACAGUAGAUCCAAAUAACCCAACACCUUCUCAGCCUUCUCUUGUGAUUUUGAAGUCUGCAGACUCCAGUGGUUCAACUGCUUGUUUAGCAAGAGAUUUCUACCCUCCCGAACUGAAGAUGUCCAUGAAUACUGACAGCCCCGUUCUCUAUGAAACCAUUGAGCCUGUCCUCUCAUCCAGAAAAUACCAUGCCAUAAAGGUUGUCAACAUUACAUCGAACCAAGAUGUUCAUUGCUCAGUACAACACCACAACAAAAAGUUUAAUAAAAUUCUUGCUGCAGAGAGACUGCCAGCUUUAACAACUCCUGGACCUACCACAAGCUCAAUUGAGAUCUGCAGAACAUCAACUCCUAGCCCCCAAGAUGAAGAUAUGGAGAAAAUGAAUGCGCUGUCUAUCACUGUGUUGGGCUUGAGGGUGUUGCUAACGAAAAGCAUUGCCUUGAAUAUGCUCCUGGUCACUAGAUACCUUUAUUUCUGAGGUUGGACGAAGGGAGACAGCAAUGGUUUGAAGAAGAUACAAAUAAUUCAUUGGCUUUUAUUCUUUAUUAGAGCUGGUCAAAAAAUGAAAAUAAAAUCAAAAUUUCAAAGUUGAAAUUUUUGAAGGGUUCAAAAUGGAGCCAAUUUUUGUGUUUUCCAAAAAUCUUCACUGAAUUUUUAUAUAACAAAAUGUUGAAUUUUUAAUUGAAAAUAUUAUUGAAAUCAUUAUCAAACUUUUCAGUCUACCAAAAAUCUGCU